CUAGAGUCACAGAAUCCUAGGAAACCCCAGAUUUCGGCGCUCAUUUUUGACUUAGGGAUGAUGCUGAGACAUCAGGUACCUGAGAAUGUUCUCUACUUCAUGAAUUAUCUGGAUGUUUUCAGGAGAAGGUCCCAUACAAGAGCAACUGAAUGCAUCAACAAUACCUUUGACCAUUUCUGAUCCAAGAUCCCUGAGUCCAUUCCUGAGGAAAGGCAACGGAUAUUUGAUUGCACCAAGAGUGUUGGACUGACUGAUGUCGGGACUGUGUGAACAGAAGGAAGAUCCUCCAGAACAUUCCCACUGGCACUCUGUGGGGACCAAACUCUGUGGAAGACAACGAAAAUUUACU